GAUGAACGCUGGCGGCGUGCCUAAUACAUGCAAGUCGAGCGAAUGGAUUAAGAGCUUGCUCUUAUGAAGUUAGCGGCGGACGGGUGAGUAACACGUGGGUAACCUGCCCAUAAGACUGGGAUAACUCCGGGAAACCGGGGCUAAUACCGGAUAACAUUUUGAACCGCAUGGUUCGAAAUUGAAAGGCGGCUUCGGCUGUCACUUAUGGAUGGACCCGCGUCGCAUUAGCUAGUUGGUGAGGUAAAGGCUCACCAAGGCAACGAUGCGUAGCCGACCUGAGAGGGUGAUCGGCAACACUGGGACUGAGACACGGCCCAGACUCCUACGGGAGGCAGCAGUAGGGAAUCUUCCGCAAUGGACGAAAGUCUGACGGAGCAACGCCGCGUGAGUGAUGAAGGCUUUCGGGUCGUAAAACUCUGUUGUUAGGGAAGAACAAGUGCUAGUUGAAUAAGCUGGCACCUUGACGGUACCUAACCAGAAAGCCACGGCUAACUACGUGCCAGCAGCCGCCGUAA
rnacentral:rRNA from 1 species